rnacentral:rRNA from 1 species
UACGUAGGGUGCGAGCGUUAAUCGGAAUUACUGGGCGUAAAGCGUGCGCAGGCGGUUCGCUGUGUCCGAUGUGAAAGCCCCGGGCUCAACCUGGGAAUGGCAUUUGGGACUGUAAGGCUGGAGUAUGGCAGAGGAGACUAGAAUUCCUGGUGUAGCAGUGAAAUGCGUAGAUAUCAGGAGGAAUACCGAUGGCGAAGGCAGGUCUCUGGGCCAAUACUGACGCUCAUGCACGAAAGCGUGGGGAGCAAACAGG